rnacentral:rRNA from 1 species
UACGGAGGAUCCAAGCGUUAUCCGGAUUUAUUGGGUUUAAAGGGUGCGUAGGUGGCCUGGUAAGUCAGGGGUGAAAGACGGUAGCUUAACUGCCAAAGUGCUUCGAAAACUGAAAGACUUGAGGGCUUCAGAGGGACACGGAAUUCCGGGUGGAGUGGUGAAAUGCGUAGAGAUCCGGAGGAACACCAAAGGCGAAGGCAGUGUCCUGGGGAGUACCUGACGCUCAGGUGCGAAAGCCAGGGGAGCGAACGGG